UUCAGGCCUAACACAUGCAAGUCGCACGGUCAGCAAUGGCAGUGGCGGACGGGUGAGUAACACGUAGGAAUCUAUCCUGGGGUGGGGGACAACAGCGGGAAACUGCUGCUAAUACCGCAUGAUACCUGAGGGUCAAAGGCGCAAGUCGCCUUGGGAGGAGCCUGCGUCUGAUUAGCUUGUUGGUGGGGUAAAGGCCUACCAAGGCGACGAUCAGUAGCUGGUCUGAGAGGAUGAUCAGCCACAUUGGGACUGAGACACGGCCCAAACUCCUACGGGAGGCAGCAGUGGGGAAUAUUGGACAAUGGGGGCAACCCUGAUCCAGCAAUGCCGCGUGUGUGAAGAAGGUCUUCGGAUUGUAAAGCACUUUUGGCAGGGACGAUGAUGACGGUACCUGCAGAAUAAGCCCCAGCUAACUUCGUGCCA
rnacentral:rRNA from 1 species